GACGUAGGGCGCAAGCGUUGUCCGGAAUUAUUGGGCGUAAAGAGCUCGUAGGCGGCUUGUUGCGUCGACUGUGAAAAACCACGACUCAACCGUGGGACUGCAGUCGAUACGGGCAGGCUAGAGUUCGGUAGGGGGAGACUGGAAUUCCUGGUGUAGCGGUGAAAUGCACAGAUAUCAGGAGGAACACCGGUGGCGAAGGCGGGUCUCUGGGCCGAUACUGACGCUGAGGAGCGAAAGCGUGGGGAGCGAACAGG
rnacentral:rRNA from 1 species